rnacentral:tRNA from 1 species
GAGCCGUUAGCUCAGUUGGUAGAGCGCCUGACUUUUAAUCAGGGGGUCCUGGGUUCGAUCCCCAGACGGCUCA